UCNUCUGGCUUAACUGGGGGCUUGCGGUGGGUACGGGCCGGCUUGAGUGCGGUAGGGGAGGCUGGAACUCCUGGUGUAGCGGUGGAAUGCGCAGAUAUCAGGAAGAACACCGGUGGCGAAGGCGGGUNUCUGGGCCGUUACUGACGCUGAGGAGCGAAAGCGUGGGGAGCGAACAGGAUUAGAUACCCUGGUAGUNCACGCCGUAAACGUUGGGCACUAGGUGUGGGGGGCCUUUUCCGGGUUUUCCGCGCCGUAGCUAACGCAUUAAGUGCCCCGCCUGGGGAGUACGGCCGCAAGGCUAAAACUCAAAGGAAUUGACGGGGGCCCGCACAAGCGGCGGAGCAUGCGGAUUAAUUCGAUGCAACGCGAAGAACCUUACCAAGGCUUGACAUGUGCCGGUCGGCUCCGGAGACGGGGUUUCCUCCUUGUGGGGCCGGUUCACAGGUGGUGCAUGGUUGUCGUCAGCUCGUGUCGUGAGAUGUUGGGUUAAGUCCCGCAACGAGCGCAACCCUUGUCUCGUGUUGCCAGCACGUUGUGGUGGGGACUCGCGGGAGACUGCCGGGGUCAACUCGGAGGAAGGUGGGGAUGACGUCAAAUCAUCAUGCCCCUUAUGUCUUGGGCUUCACGCAUGCUACAAUGGCCGGUACAGAGGGCUGCGAUACUGUGAGGUGGAGCGAAUCCCUUAAAGCCGGUCUCAGUUCGGAUCGGUGUCUGCAACUCGACACCGUGAAGUUGGAGUCGCUAGUAAUCGCAGAUCAGCAACGCUGCGGUGAAUACGUUCUCGGGCCUUGUACACACCGCCCGUCACGUCAUGAAAGUC
rnacentral:rRNA from 1 species